UCGAGGGAGGAGCUUUCGGGCUUCGACCGGCGUACGGGUGCGUAACGCGUAUACAAUCUGCCUUUCACAUAGGGAUAGCCCGAAGAAAUUUGGAUUAAUACCUAAUGGUAUAUAGGAGUGGCAUCACAUUUAUAUUAAAGCUGAGGCGGUGAAAGAUGAGUAUGCGUUCUAUUAGCUAGUUGGAGAGGUAACGGCUCCCCAAGGCUACGAUAGAUAGGGGUUCUGAGAGGGAUAUCCCCCACACUGGUACUGAGAUACGGACCAGACUCCUACGGGAGGCAGCAGUGAGGAAUAUUGGACAAUGGUCGGAAGACUGAUCCAGCCAUGCCGCGUGCAGGAAGACGGCCUUAUGGGUUGUAAACUGCUUUUGCAGGGGAAGAAUAAGGAGUACGUGUAGUUUGAUGACGGUACUCUGCGAAUAAGCACCGGCUAACUCCGUGCCAGCAGCCGCGGUAAUACGGAGGGUGCGAGCGUUAUCCGGAUUCAUUGGGUUUAAAGGGUCCGUAGGCGGGCUGAUAAGUCAGAGGUGAAAUCGUUCAGCUCAACUGUACAACUGCCUUUGAUACUGUUAGUCUUGAAUGGUUGUGAAGUAGUUGGAAUGUGUAGUGUAGCGGUGAAAUGCUUAGAUAUUACACAGAACACCGAUAGCGAAGGCAUAUUACUAACAGUUAAUUGACGCUGAUGGACGAAAGCGUGGGGAGCGAACAGGAUU
rnacentral:rRNA from 1 species